rnacentral:rRNA from 1 species
AUUGAACGCUGGCGGCAGGCCUAACACAUGCAAGUCGAGCGGAUGAAGGGAGCUUGCUCCUGGAUUCAGCGGCGGACGGGCGAGUAAGGCCUAGGAAUCUGCCUGGUAGUGGGUGAUAACGUGCGGAAACGGGCGCUAAUACCGCAUUCGUCCUGAGGGCGUACGGGGGGGAGCUUCGGACCUUCCGCUAUUGGAUGAGCCUAGGUCGGAUUAGCUAGUUGGUGGGGUAAAGGCCUAACGAGGCGACGAUCCGUAACUGGGCUGAGAGGAUGAUCAGUCACAAUGGAACUGAGAACAGGUCCCAGCUCCUAAGGGAGGCAGGCGUUGGGAAUAUUGGAACAUGGGCGGAAGCCUGAUCCAGGCCAGCCGGCUGUGGGAAGGAAGUCUUCGGAUUGUAAAGCACUUUAUGUUGGGAGGAAGGGCAGUAAGUUAAAUCCUUGCUGUUUUGACGUUACCAACAGAAUAAGCACCGGCUAACUUCGUG